UCGAUAACCUAAAAAAAUUACUUUCUCACUCAUUCUGGAACGCGCCUCAUUCCAACUUCUGUUAGAGAGAAACCAUAUGUAUAAUCUGCUACCCGCCAUUAUUAACUUCCCUUCCUUCCUGGUCGAUGGAGAAAUCUCCCUGAGUUUCAGGUUUGAAAAUCCGCAAUUUUUUUGUUGGUUUAUCUUCCUUAAUCUGUUCGUCUUGCGAUUUCGUAUUGAAGAUGGAUUUCAGAGAAAUAUCAACGCUGAAGGUGAUCACUGGCUAGUGAAAUUGUGUUUGUUGCGAAUGGUGAGACCAAAACAAAACAAGUUUCUUCUCCUAAACCAGGUUAGUCUUUUUCUUUCUAUUCAUUGUUUAAUAUGUAAUUUCGUUCUAAUAUUUCGGAUGAAUGAACUCUAUUAGUUGCUUGGAGAUUGUACUUUGUGAAUUGCCGACUAACUUCUUAAUCCAACUAAAGCGCAGUUUCCAUUCUGUUCACUAACCAAUUUGUCCGUCCCUGACCAGCUAGAACACCACAAAACUCUUUUAACUCCCUGUUGCAUCCAUAUAUGAACUCAUAGAUUCUGCAGUUAACAUCAUCUCCUUUCACGUUCAAAAUCGCUUACAGCCAACCCCAAUCUUCAUCUACAACUCGACCCCAAAUCGUCACCAGGAACACCAAUUUAUACUUCAGAAGCUUCCUCCACCGAUUCAGCAACUCAACCAACAAGCGCAUCUUGAUUCUCUAUAGCCUGAAUUCUCAAUUUAGUUCACCGUUAAUCCGCCAAUCUGAGAAUAUAUAACCCAUGCCGGCAGACAAUUAAUCCAACACCACCACCAGCCGUUUGAUAAGCACGUAUGUGCGACACAGUUAUACCCAUAUUUACACUAGCUAGGACUCGUUAUUGGAUUAAUAAUAUUGUUUUAGAUGGUUUACAGGAAAUUCAAGUGAAUCCAAUCUAGGUACAAUAAACAGCUCAAUAAGAAGCUAAAUGUUGUUUACACUCACUCAGGCACCUCAAGGCUAGAAGUAUUGGCAAUGGGCUUAAUCCCUUGUUGCGAGACACACAAGGCCACUAGUGGAUGUUGGCCAAGACAAAUAAGUGGUGACGUGGAAAAUUCUCAACCACAUUUCUCAUUUCUUAUCAAGAGAAGAAAUUCUCUUUUGUGGGUGAAGCAGCUUCUAUUUACAUUCGUUACAUCUGUUGGUCGAAAUUCACUGAGAACUAGAGAUUGAUUGAGUGAGGAAGAUGGUGAUCAGUUACAGCAGCAAUGAGAAAAUUAAAGGGUCAGUUGGAUGGAAACAAUUGAAUUUGGAGAUGAAUUCGAAGUGGUGUUGUAGAUGGUAUUCGAAUUGAGUUAUGUACUAAGAAAAUGGAGGACGAUGCUUUGGGAAUGAAUUGAAAUUGGUUUCUGCAUGUGGAUUGAAUCAAUGGAUUUUGGCCGAAUGGUGGCUGUACAAGGAAAUGAAGAUGGGUUUAAUUGUAGACUUUGUAUGCCUGAAAUUGGAUCUCAAUACUGGUGGGAAUCAGUCGCAAGAGGAAGGCUGACACCGUGAUGCUUUUGCAUUCAAGAUGUUCAGGGAAAUGCCACUUAAAGCUUAUACCACGAUGGAGAUGGGGUGAAGCUUCAAAUCAACCGAGUAAUGAUGGGUUUGUGUGAAAUCCAUUGAAGCUAGUGGUAAUCGAAUUCAGGCACGAAUGGGUUCUUACUGCGAGUUUGGUAUCAUAACUAAAACUGUGCCGGCGUAUUGAUUGGUAGUGAUAAGAAGAACAAGAAAGUGGAGCUGUGGCCGGUGAAUUGUAACCAGAGUUGGGAAACUUGCGUGAACCAGGCAGUGAAACUGGUGGUGUGCACGGAAAUGGGUAUUCGGCUGAACCAUUUGUUGGAGUUGCCACUAGUUAUGUUGGAGUUGAUUGAAGUGAGCUGUUGUUGCUGCUCUGGCCCUGACAAGGAAGGCAGUAGUGUUUGUUACUAGUUGUUCCGUGGACUGAAGUCGAGAAGAAAUUACAGUUCUUGGUCUGAAUGGUGGAGCUACCGUAGCUGGCAAUUAGCCGUGGUCGAGAAGUUACAUGGUCAGGAGAUCGGCGAUGGUGGCUAGGUGGCCAGCGAACUGCAGAAAUUUGUGUCUGGCCAGUUUUGGAAAGUACUUGGACGUUGGCUGAAUUUGGAAUACGGUGGUGUUGGAGGGGAUGACGUGGCCUGCUCUCAUUGGCUGAUUUAUAUUUGUGACGCAAGGAAGAAAAGAAAUAAAAAGAGAAGUAAAAUGUGAAAGAAGGGAGGCCGGCUGGAGUUUUAUCUUGGAAGGUUGCGGCUACAAAGCCGAGAAACAUAAAGGAGGAGAGGAGGCGAAAAAGCGAAAAGAAGGGAGAAAGGAGGAGAGGAGGCGAAAAAGCGAGAAGAAGGGUUUGCGAUUCUUGUCAUUUCGUUUCCAUUUUGAUUUGCUAGUGAUUCUCUUUGGUUUGUUUAUGGCUUUUGAGAAAAGCCAUGUCUAGCUAAAUCUAUGUAACUGGGGUUCAUGUUGAAACCACUUAAGAGUAUUAGGCUAUUUCCAAUUGAAUAAUAUUUAGCAAAAGACUAUUAUGAUUUGAAUAAAUUAAUUUCAUGAUUUUAUUUAUUGAUUCAA